UACGUAGGGGGCAAGCGUUGUCCGGAAUCAUUGGCCGUAAAGAGCGUGUAGGCGGCUCGGUAAGUCCGCUGUGAAAGUCCAGGGCUCAACCCUGGAAUGCCGGUGGAAACUGUCGAGCUAGAGUCCGGAAGAGGCGAGUGGAAUUCCUGGUGUAGCGGUGAAAUGCGCAGAUAUCAGGAGGAACACCAAUGGCGAAGGCAGCUCGCUGGGACGGUAGCUGACGCUGAGAGACGAAAGCUAGGGGAGCGAAUGGG
rnacentral:rRNA from 1 species